rnacentral:rRNA from 1 species
UGGGGAAUCUUGGACAAUGGGGGCAACCCUGAUCCAGCCAUGCCGCGUGAGUGAUGAAGGCCUUAGGGUCGUAAAGCUCUUUCGCCUGUGAAGAUAAUGACGGUAGCAGGUAAAGAAACCCCGGCUAACUCCGUGCCAGCAGCCGCGGUAAUACGGAGGGGGUUAGCGUUGUUCGGAAUUACUGGGCGUAAAGCGCACGUAGGCGGACCAGAAAGUUGGGGGUGAAAUCCCGGGGGCUCAACCCCGGAACUGCCUCCAAAACUAUUGGUCUAGAGUUCGAGAGAGGUGAGUGGAAUUCCAAGUGUAGAGGUGAAAUUCGUAGAUAUUUGGAGGAACACCAGUGGCGAAGGCGGCUCACUGGCUCGAUACUGACGCUGAGGUGCGAAAGUGUGGGGAGCAAACAGGAUUAGAUACCCUGGUAGUCCACACCGUAAAACGAUGAAUGCCAGUCGUCGGGUAGCAUGCUAUUCGGUGACACACCUACGGAUUAAGCAUUCCGCCUGGGGAGUACGGUCGCAAGAUUAAAACUC